AUCUUUGUUUAUUGUAUUUUCAUCAUGCUACUUAACCCAGUUCACUUUUGAACGGAGAUAUGUUCUGGUGAGAUUCAUGAAGAUAAUACAAAAAGCUGGUCUCUACUCUCAUCUUCACAUUGGUCCUUAUUGGCAUUCCUGAGAUC